rnacentral:lncRNA from 1 species
UGGUUUGGAAAACUUUGAAUAACCAAGUCCACUUUUGUCAUGUGAAUAUCUUUGUUGGCUAAGGACACCUUCCAACCCAAUUUGUCCUUUCUCAUACCUUUCAAGAACCCUUUUUAAUUGAACAAUUUGGAAAUAAAGUGAUUCAUAAUUUUUAUAUACGAAAUUCUAUUUUUCACUAAUCAUCUUUUGUUUUUCAUCAUCGACAUCUUUUUCAAUUG